GUCGCCUCCUAAAAGGUAACGGAGGCGCUCAAAGGUUCCCUCAGAAUGGUUGGAAAUCAUUCAUAGAGUGUAAAGGCAUAAGGGAGCUUGACUGCGAGACCUACAAGUCGAGCAGGGUCGAAAGACGGACUUAGUGAUCCGGUGGUUCCGCAUGGAAGGGCCAUCGCUCAACGGAUAAAAGCUACCCCGGGGAUAACAGGCUUAUCUCCCCCAAGAGUUCACAUCGACGGGGAGGUUUGGCACCUCGAUGUCGGCUCAUCGCAUCCUGGGGCUGUAGUCGGUCCCAAGGGUUGGGCUGUUCGCCCAUUAAAGCGGUACGCGAGCUGGGUUCAGAACGUCGUGAGACAGUUCGGUCCCUAUCCGUCGUGGGCGUAGGAAAUUUGAGAGGAGCUGUCCUUAGUACGAGAGGACCGGGAUGGACAUACCUCUGGUGUACCAGUUGUCGUGCCAACGGCAUAGCUGGGUAGCUAUGUGUGGACGGGAUAAGUGCUGAAAG
rnacentral:rRNA from 2 species